rnacentral:lncRNA from 1 species
UAUUAUUUUUCUCUCCUCUUUGGAACAUCAGCUUCAUGAGAACAACCAGGAAAGGAACAUUGCCUUGUUUGAUAUCCCUAGUGCCUAGGAUGGUGCCCAGCACAUAGUAGGUGCUCAGUUAAUGUUUAGUAAAUGAAUGAAUGAAAAUUUGCCCAGAGGAAGAAAAUGCUAGCUUCAUGUUACUAAGGAUUCCAGUCAGCAUGAUAGAUGGAGUCUCAUUGUAAAGGUCUGACACUGAGUAUUGCAGAUCAUCCCCAGAAGGCAGAACCUUGCUCUCCAUGUGGGUUUGAACCUGCAGAGAUCAGGCCCAAGGAGAAGCCCACUGGGAAUUCCACCCUGUGUGGACAUAGACCUGACUCACUCUCAAAUGCUUCUGAGUCUCUGGUUUUUUUGUUUUUGUUUUGUUUUUGAGAUGAGGUUUCCCUAUGUUGUUUAGGCUGGCCUUGAACUUCUGGGCUCAAGUGAUGAGCCUCCUUGUGCAGUGUCCCAAGUACCUGAGACUACGUGCACAUGCCACCACACCCAGCUCCUUUCUAAACUUUGAUAGGUUGUUUAUUAAGGAUUUUUUUUUUUUCAUAUCCUAAAGCUUUUUUCUUGGGUAUUUAUUUUUGCAGUGAUAGGGAUUGAGCCCAGGGCACUGUACCAUGGUACUACAAUCCCCAGCCUUUUUUUUUUUUUUUGGAGAUAGGGUCUCUCUAAG